UUUGGUGACUUGAAUUGAGCUUUCUCGGCUACCGUACACUUCCGCUUCAGUGGGCAGCUAGCUCUUCAGGUUGUUAACUUUUGGGCUUUCGAACUGGAGUCUCCACGUCGGCUGCUGGUCGUCUAUCUGCAUAUCUCGAAAGAGUAAACAAUCACAACAAAGUAACAAGUUGAAUGGCAGUCUGCUUGUCGGCCGGUGGGACGAGUGGUCGGCCGGUGGGACGAGUGGUCGGCCGGUGGGACGAGUGGUCGGCCGGUGGGACGAGUGGUCGGCCGGUGG